UACGUAGGUGGCGAGCGUUGUCCGGAAUUACUGGGCGUAAAGCGUGCGCAGGCGGUGAUGUAAGACAGUUGUGAAAUCCCCGGGCUCAACCUGGGAACUGCAUCUGUGACUGCAUCGCUGGAGUACGGUAGAGGGGGAUGGAAUUCCGCGUGUAGCAGUGAAAUGCGUAGAUAUGCGGAGGAACACCGAUGGCGAAGGCAAUCCCCUGGACCUGUACUGACGCUCAUGCACGAAAGCGUGGGGAGCAAACAGG
rnacentral:rRNA from 1 species